AUGCAAAAGGAUCACGUUCCUCCAUGCUCCUACACCACUACACCUGCACUAUGCCAUGCCAUCAAGGUGCAGGCCUCCAUCCAGAUGCCGCGCAAUCUUCCCCAAGCCAUAAAAAAUACAUUCGGCUACACAAGCCACAGCGUGCGUGGGAUGCCAGAGCUGAAUGUACGUGUUAUGGCUUGGAGGAGCUUGCACGGUGUAGAGGAGGUGUGCCAAGGCUGGAAGGCUAUGUGCAAGAGAGAUGGAGAGCUUGGAUAUGAGUUGAGAGGAGGGGGUGGUGGGUGCUGUGUGAGAGAGUGGUGGUGA
rnacentral:rRNA from 1 species